GAUGAACGCUGGCGGCGUGCCUAAUACAUGCAAGUCGAGCGGACAGAUAAGGAGCUUGCUCCUUUGACGUUAGCGGCGGACGGGUGAGUAACACGUGGAUAACCUACCUAUAAGACUGGGAUAACUUCGGGAAACCGGAGCUAAUACCGGAUAACAUAUUGAACCGCAUGGUUCAAUAGUGAAAGGCGGCUUUGCUGUCACUUAUAGAUGGAUCCGCGCCGUAUUAGCUAGUUGGUAAGGUAACGGCUUACCAAGGCAACGAUACGUAGCCGACCUGAGAGGGUGAUCGGCCACACUGGAACUGGGACACGGUCCAGACUCCUACGGGAGGCAGCAGUAGGGAAUCUUCCGCAAUGGGCGAAAGCCUGACGGAGCAGCGCCGCGUGAGUGAUGAAGGUCUUCGGAUCGUAAAACUCUGUUAUCAGGGAAGAACAAAUGUGUAAGUAACUGUGCACAUCUUGACGGUACCUGAUCAGAAAGCCACGGCUAACUACGUG
rnacentral:rRNA from 1 species